AAUGAGUACCGCGUGAGGCAGAAGAGACGCCAUUUUCAGAAUUUUGCGUUGUCUGGUGGUGUACGGCUCUCAUUUCGAUGUCCAGAAAUUCGCUCAAACUCGAGAAAAUGCAGGAUAAUAAGGGGAAAGGAGACACCGACGCCCGUCAGAAGAACGAACCCAUCAUGUCGGCAGACUUGAAGGAACCCCUGAUGAAGAAAAACGAGAAGAAAUUCACAGGAAGAUGCCGACUCUUUGUUGGAAACCUCACCCCAGAUACGGACGAAGAAGCUUUCAAAUCGCUGUUCCAGAAAUAUGGCGAGAUAUCUGAGGUUUACCUGAAUCAGCAGAGAGGGUUUGGUUUCAUCCGAUUGGACACAAGGUAUCAUGCAGAAGUUGCCAAAUCAGACCUGGACGGCACCAUGCGGAAGGGCAAGCAGCUCCGCGUCCGCUUUGCCACACACGGCGCAGCCCUCAAGGUCACCAACCUCUCCCCACACGUGUCCAACGAGCUUCUGGAGCAGGCCUUCACCCAGUUUGGAGAGGUUGAGCGUGCAGUGGUCAUCGUGGACGACAGAGGGCGCCCCACUGGAGAGGGUAUCGUUGAGUUUGCCAGAAAGCCAGGAGCGACAAAUGCCAUCAAGAGGAUCUCGGAAGGCUGCUUCUGUCUCACAGCGACACCCAAGCCAAUCCUUGUAGAGCCACUGGAACAGAAGGAUGAGGAGGAUGGUCUGCAGGAGAAACACAUCGCCAGAAAUGCCAACUACACACGUGAACGCGAGGUGCAGCCUAGGUUCAUUAACCCGUCCACGUUCGAGUUCGACAUGUCUCAGCGCUGGAAGCAGCUGUAUGAGAUGGAGAAACAGCAGCGGGACGACCUGGAGAAGCGCAUCCUGGUGGCACGAGAGAAGCUGGAAGAAGAGAUGCAGUCAGCCAUCCAUGAACACCAGGCUAACCUCAUGCGCCAGGACCUGAUGCGCCGACAGGAAGAGCUACGUAGGCUGGAGGAGAUGCGCCGUCAGGACGAGAUGCGUCGCCGCGAAUCUGAGAUGAGACGCCAAGAAGAGGUUCGCCAACGAGAGGAGAUGGUCCAGAUGAGGUCGGUUGGGAGGCGCCAAGAUGAAGUUCGUCGCCAGGACGAGAUGCGCCGUGAAGAGAUGCUCCGCCAGCAGCAGGAGGAGGCCAUGCGCCGCCGCCAGGCCGACGACCUCAGGCUCCAGAGAGAGCAGGCCAUGCGCCAGGAUGACAUGAGGAAGCAGUACAUGAUCCAGCAAGAAGCCAUCCGCACCAUGGGAGGUGGUCCUGGCACUCCUGGUGGUGCCGGUGGAAACAGCGGUGGCAACUUUGGCCCAGGCGGUCCCGGUGGCCAGUCCGGCCCUGGUGGUCCCGGGGGUCCUGGCGGCCCUGGAGGCCCAGGCAACAUGGGCAACAACGGACCAAUGGGAUCUGGAGGUCACAUGGGCCAGGGAGCUGGUCACAUGGGCCAAGGUGGCGGCCACAUGGGCCAGGGAGGGCCAAUGGGAGGCGGCGGAAUGGGCCAGUCUCCAGGCGGUAGCAACAUGCAGCAUGGACUUGCAGUGUUGCCAUGGAAACCAUUAGUCACUAUAGCAACCAAGCUAUACCAACAGGCUACUCGAAGGUCAUGUUGUGUGAUGGUGAGCUGAAUAUUGUGACCAUUCUAUCACCACCCUCCCAUGGUGCUGCAAAUCUGCAUGCAGACAGCACACUGAGUACUCCUCAAAGACUCCACUGGCCAUGUAAGGUGACAGUGAGUUGCUGAGAAGUGUGACCAACUCUGCACAAGACUGACCACUUCAUGUUCUUCAAGGCAUGGAAGAGUACACCAUGGAGGAUCUCAGAUGCUGACAGUGUUGGACUACGAGUUGUAAGCAGACGUGCAGAGGGCAUGUUUGAAUAAGAGUGUUGCUAAUCCUCCCUGCAUGUGUGAACUCGUCUGCAGUGCUGUGCAUCAGCAAUGAUGACCAGUGAAGAAGAUUUCUUGGUACGAUUGGCAGAGUCUUGUUCUGUAUUCACUGCAGUAUGGCGGAGGACACACAAGCUGAAAGCUUCAUCAUCACAACACAUGGUACCACUGGCAGAGCUUGUUCUGUAUUCACUUCAGCAUGGCGGAGGACACACAAGCUGAAGACUAUCAUCACAACACAUGGUAACCCAGACCUUUUCUGGACAUCUUGUGGAGAAUGACAGGAGGCAGAGACAUCACCAUGCAUGGUUGGUAAGCUGACAGCUGACUGACCCCAGAUUGAAGCUACCUUACUGGUCACUGGUCUAUCUGGCAGUUUGAUGCAGCAAGGCGCCAGUAUGCUGUGUGAACACCUGUACCAUCCCGGGCUUUACAUGGACAUUAAGAACACAGGACUCUAGAAAUUGUCUCCAUGGCUUCUGAAUUGUGUAUGACUCGAUGAAAAGAACAUUUUUUGUUAACUUGCAACAUUGACAAAAGAUGUAGUAAAGUUGUGAUUCUAUGUCCAUCUUACAUCCGUCUAUUAGUAUGUUAUUUUACCUUUCAGACAUCGAAAGGCUGUACUUGUACAUAUUGUUUAUAAAAAGAUAUUUUGACGUACAUCAUAUUUGUAGACUUGUCAACAAACCAAUCAAGAUAUUGCAAGGUUUCUGGAAACUAGUAGUAAUGUGACAAAAGAAUAUGGAACACCUUUGAUAAAAAUACAGGCACUUGAAUUCAAGUUUUCAUUCUCAUUUUCAUAGAACAGUGCUAAGUGACAUUUGGUUAAUUCUGAUUUGUGUUUUUUGUUUUGUUUCAUGUCUUAUGAAUGCAAAUUAAAAUUUGAACAAGUAUCCAGUUUGACAUUUUCUUUGUUGAAGUGAGCUACCAUCCUCAGACUUAGAAUACUGACAUACAAGUAGGUCACUAUAAGAGAGCAGCACCAAUUUUUCUCAGACGUGGGAACAUUGCUUUGAGGCAUGCUAUGGUAUAAAUCGUAUAAUCAAAAAGUCAAAGCUUUAUGACAGGCAGCAUGUUAGCUGAGGACACAUUCAAACACCUUUUUCUUUUAUUAAGGAAUAACAUAGCAUUGUGUUACCAUUUCCCUGAACAGCCAAAAUAGAGCUGGUGCUGAUGAAACUUAUUUUGGUAGAUGAUGCCUAUAUUCAAUGGUAAUUUCGUCCCUUAGCUGUCUACCCAGGAAAACAAGCAGUUACUGCUAUCCCACGAAUAGAAAGAAAAUAUUAUAUGCAGAAUGAAUAAUACAGGGCAAAGAAAGACACUGAAUUUUCAUCCCUUUAUUUGAAUUUCAAUACAAUUGUACUAUCUACAUGCAUACAUUUUCCCAUGAUAUAUAAUGUAAUGAUUGUAUAUUGGAUGUUUUUAUUUGUUACUGUUCUGAAAAAUAAAAUAAAAACAAUGUCCUCCAUAUUUACAGUAUCACGUUAGUUAUAAAGUGUGGAAGAACACACAUGGAAGUCCACCAAUUUACUAAGCUACUUAGCAAGCACAACUAUAAUUCCUAUCCAUCAUAGCAUACCUAACAUAAGUUACAAAAGCUUACAAUAGCAGUGAGCAUUAUUAAUGUCGCAGGCAAACUUCAAACGAACAAUGGUGAGUUACAAAACCAAUAUUUACAUUACAUGGCAGGGAACCUAGGGACACUGACAUGUGCAGAGUUUAGCAAAUGGAAGGUCUAAAA